GUGCCAGCAGCCGCGGUAAUACGUAGGGGGCAAGCGUUGUCCGGAUUUAUUGGGCGUAAAGAGCGUGUAGGCGGCUUGACAGGUCCGUUGUGAAAACUGGAGGCUCAACCUCCAGACGUCGAUGGAAACCGUCAGGCUAGAGUCCGGAAGAGGAGAGUGGAAUUCCUGGUGUAGCGGUGAAAUGCGCAGAUAUCAGGAAGAACACCCGUGGCGAAGGCGGCUCUCUGGGACGGUACUGACGCUGAGACGCGAAAGCGUGGGGAGCGAACAGGAUUAGAUACCCUGGUAGUCCACGCCGUAAACGAUGGGUGCUAGGUGUGGGAGGUGUCGACUCCUCCCGUGCCGAAGCUAACGCAUUAAGCACCCCGCCUGGGGAGUACGGCCGCAAGGCUAAA
rnacentral:rRNA from 1 species